rnacentral:rRNA from 1 species
ACUAACCCUAGCCCACCUAUUAAAUUAAAUUCAACUAUAUAAAAAAUUAAAAUAAAUCAUUUAGAUUAAUAAAAGUAUAGGAGAUAGAAAUUAUAAUAUGGCGCUAUAGAGAUAGUACCGCAAGGGAAAGAUGAAAGAUUAUUAAAAGUAUAAAAAAGCAAAGAUAACACCUUGUACCUUUUGCAUAAUGAGAUAACAAGAAAUGAUUUAGCAUAAAGAAUUGAAGCUAAACACCCCGAAACCAAACGAGCUACUCAUGAGCAGCCAUUAGAGCAAACCCGUCUAUGUGGCAAAAUAGUGGGAAGACUUCUGAGUAGAGGUGAAAAGCCAAUCGAGUUUGGUGAUAGCUGGUCACCCAGGAUAAGAAUUUAAGUUCAACUUUAAACUUACCUAAAGAAAUUAAAAUCUUAAUGUAAGUUUUAAGUAUACUCUAUAGAGGUACAGCUCUAUAGAUAAGGAAAAAACCUGAAAUAGUGAGUAAAAUUUAUAAUAACCACAGUUGGCCUAAAAGCAGCCAUCAGUUAAGAAAGCGUUCAAGCUCAACACUAAUAUAUUAAAUUAAUCUAAGCAUUCUUUACUCAACUCCUAUUUUUUCACUGGGUUAAUCUAUUACUCAAUAGAAGAGAUAAUGUUAUUAUAAGUAACAAGAAUUAUAUUCUCCUAGCACAAGUCUAUAUCAGAUCGAAUACAUCACUGAUAGUUAACAAUAAGGUAACAAUAAUAAAACAAAACACUUACCUACCCUAAUUGUUAACCCAACACAGGAGUGCUAUAAGGAAAGAUAAAAAGAAGUAAAAGGAACUCGGCAAAUACAAACCCCGCCUGUUUACCAAAAACAUCACCUCUAGCAUAAAAAGUAUUAGAGGCACCGCCUGCCCAGUGACAUACGUUCAACGGCCGCGGUAUUCUGACCGUGCAAAGGUAGCAUAAUCAUUUGUUCCUUAACUAGGGACUUGUAUGAAUGGCAUGACGAGGGUUUAACUGUCUCUUACUUCCUAUCAGUGAAAUUGACCUUCCAGUGAAGAGGCUGGAAUAAACCAAUAAGACGAGAAGACCCUAUGGAGCUUAAAUUAACCAAUCUAACCAUAUUUAAAGCUACUCUACACGAAAUCUAACAUUAUAUGAACCUAGAUUGGCAAUUUUGGUUGGGGUGACCUCGGAGCAUAAAAAAACCUCCGAAAGAUAAAUUUAGACUAACUAGUCGAAAUGAUAUUAUCCAUCUAAAUGAUCCAAACACUAUUUGAUCAACGGAACAAGUUACCCUAGGGAUAACAGCGCAAUCUUGCUUAAGAGUUCAUAUCGACAGCAAGGUUUACGACCUCGAUGUUGGAUCAGGACAUCCUAAUGGUGCAGCAGCUAUUAAGGGUUCGUUUGUUCAACGAUUAAUAGUCCUACGUGAUCUGAGUUCAGACCGGAGCAAUCCAGGUCGGUUUCUAUCUAUUUACAAGUCUCUCCCAGUACGAAAGGACAAGAGAGGCAAGGCCUAUUAACCAUAUAAAGCCUUAACCCACACAGAUGAAAUAUCUCAAUCUGAUAAAGUAUCAUAAAAUCACCCUAGAUAAGGGUUC